rnacentral:snoRNA from 1 species
UGAUGGUGAUGAGGAAAAUUUUUGAGCAUGCCCUUGAAUCUCUCCCAAGCUUGGUAGAGAUUUUCUCCAUCUUUUCGUCUGAAACUCUCACUCCUCAAUCG